rnacentral:lncRNA from 1 species
AUCUGACGCUCAGGCUCCGCCCCCUGCAUGUCUUUGUUGGCAAACAGUUCUGGGGGUCGUCCGAUCCUGCAGAGACCGUCCAGGCUGGACUUGAACUCCUUCCUCGGCUGAAGUGAUCCUCCUGCCUCAGCGUCCUGAAUAGGUAGGACUACAACUGUGAGUCACUUUACUCAACCAGAAAUGGUGAAUGAUAAAAAAUGUUUAUAGAUCAUUGCUUCUAAAAAGACUAUAUUAGACACACUGUGGUACCCAAAACCAAAUGCUAGCUACUUUUUAACUCAAAAAUAAUUAGUCAGCUAAUGAUCUAUAUUUUGCUUUACAGUUUAACUUGACGAGUAGAAAAAUGUCAAGGUAUAAGACAAUGCAAAAUGUAGGGACAAAGAAGAAAACUUCCCCUUUCACCCUCUGAAGGUUUGCUGAAAAUGAACUGAAAAAGGCAGAGCAACAGGAGAAAAGGCAUGCGUUUAUUUUAACGUGCAUACCAUGGGGAAUUGCAGAAGAGUAAUGGCCUAAUAACCCAGCAGGGUCCAGAUGCCUGUCUACCCUCUCUUCUUAGGGAAGGCGGGGAUGAGGUGUGUAGGAGUAAAUGACAAAAGUUCCUCUGAGCUCUGGGGGAGGUGUUGGGAAGGUGAGG